UCACGUUACACCAGCAUGUAGGUCUAUGC
rnacentral:sRNA from 1 species